rnacentral:tRNA from 1 species
GCGGACGGGGGGCAACACACUGCUAAUGCGGUUUGGGCCUUAAAGCCCAUCGAGGGUUCAAAUCCCUCCGCCUCCGCGCCA